rnacentral:rRNA from 1 species
UACGAAGGGGGCUAGCGUUGCUCGGAAUCACUGGGCGUAAAGCGUGCGCAGGCGGUUUUGUAAGCCAGAUGUGAAAUCCCCGGGCUCAACCUGGGAACUGCAUUUGUGACUGGCCAGCUAGAGUAUGGCAGAGGGGGGUGGAAUUCCACGUGUAGCAGUGAAAUGCGUAGAGAUGUGGAGGAACACCGAUGGCGAAGGCAGCCCCCUGGGCCAAUACUGACGCUCAUGCACGAAAGCGUGGGGAGCAAACAGG